UACAGAGGGGGCAAGCGUUGUUCGGAAUUAUUGGGCGUAAAGAGCGCGCAGGCGGUCGUUCAAGUCGCGUGUGAAAGCCCCCGGCUCAACUGGGGAGGGUCACGCGAUACUGAUCGACUCGAAGGCAGGAGAGGGAAGUGGAAUUCCCGGUGUAGUGGUGAAAUGCGUAGAUAUCGGGAGGAACACCAGUGGCGAAGGCGACUUCCUGGCCUGUUGUUGACGCUGAGGCGCGAAAGCUAGGGGAGCAAACGGG
rnacentral:rRNA from 1 species